GUCAAACUUUUAGUUUCGUUCUUACUGAGAAUCUUCUGACGUGCUCUCCGGUCAAUCCUCCGUGUGAAGGAAACAAAGGAGGAGCAGCUCUGAGUGAGUCAAGGACAGAAUGAGGAAAUGAAGAGUUCAGACUCCAUUUUCCAGUCGACAGAGGAGGACAACAAGACUGAAGUCCUCAAGAUGAGUGUUUAUGAGGAGGAGGAGUUUC